CCAUUCCCUUCCUGCCCCCAAACUGCCACACAACCCCCACCAUGCAGUCUGCCCUCACUUUGGUUUCUAUCCUGACCCUGCUCCAAGGUGUCCAGGGUGAGAUCCAGCUGGUGGAGUCCGGGGGAGACGUGAGACAGCCCGGGGGGUCUCUGAGACUCUCCUGCAAAGCAACUGGAUUCACUUUCAGCAGCAACUACAUGUACUGGAUCCGCCAGGCUCCAGGGAAGGGCCUGGAGUGGGUUGCAGAAAUUUAUCCUAGUGGGAGCCACGCAAACUAUGCAGACUCUGUGAAAGGCCGAUUCACCAUCUCCAGGGACAAUGCCAACAGCCUGCUGUAUGUGCAAAUGAACAGCCUGAAAACUGAGGAUACAGGCCUCUAUUACUGUACGAGCAACACAGGGCUACAAAGUUCCAGGCAGAAUGGAUGCAGUUGCUGCUUGCAGGGGCUGCCCCUGUUUUUAGGACUGUCUCUGUGCUUCUCUAGCUUCACGAAGCUUCAGCUCAGGGACACCAAUCCCUCCUUUGACUGCUGCCCUGCCGAAUGCCAUGGUCUCCCAUCAGUUCUUGUCAAGUUGCAUAAUUUAGGGCGCUACAGUGUGCACUGGAUUCGACAGCCUGCAGGAAAGGGGCUAGAAUGGGUGGGAAUUAUCAGGAGUGGUGGAAACAACCACUCUAAUCCAGCUUUCCAGUCUUGA